UACGGAGGGGGCUAGCGUUGUUCGGAAUUACUGGGCGUAAAGCGCACGUAGGCGGCUUUGUAAGUUAGAGGUGAAAGCCCGGGGCUCAACUCCGGAAUUGCCUUUAAGACUGCAUCGCUAGAAUUGUGGAGAGGUAAGUGGAAUUCCGAGUGUAGAGGUGAAAUUCGUAGAUAUCGGGAGGAACACCUGUGGCGAAAGCGGCGCACUGGACCACAACUGACGCUGAGGCGCGAAAGCUAGGGGAGCAAACAGG
rnacentral:rRNA from 1 species